rnacentral:rRNA from 1 species
AACGAACGCUGGCGGCAGGCUUAACACAUGCAAGUCGAACGCCCCGCAAGGGGAGUGGCAGACGGGUGAGUAACGCGUGGGAACAUACCCUUUCCUGCGGAAUAGCUCCGGGAAACUGGAAUUAAUACCGCAUACGCCCUACGGGGGAAAGAUUUAUCGGGGAAGGAUUGGCCCGCGUUGGAUUAGCUAGUUGGUGGGGUAAAGGCCUACCAAGGCGACGAUCCAUAGCUGGUCUGAGAGGAUGAUCAGCCACAUUGGGACUGAGACACGGCCCAAACUCCUACGGGAGGCAGCAGUGGGGAAUAUUGGACAAUGGGCGCAAGCCUGAUCCAGCCAUGCCGCAUGAGUGAUGAAGGCCUUAGGGUUGUAAAGCUCUUUCACCGAUGAAGAUAAUGACGGUAGUCGGAGAAGAAGCCCCGGCUAACUUCGUG